rnacentral:misc_RNA from 1 species
UUUUUAACCUGCCAAGGCAUUAGGGGGAAACACCCCAUGGAUGAACUCAAGGAAACGGCUGGAGUAAAAUGUAGGAUCCACAGCGGAGAUGGACAAGGAAUCGAACUGAAGAGAUUUGUAUGCAUGUUCUAUCUUCUUACUCAUAUUGUACUCCUGAAGUAUAUCAAUUAUGCCAAGAUAAAGAACAACGUCGUAUACUUCGUGAAAUGUC